UACGGGGGGAGCAAGCGUUGUUCGGAUUUACUGGACGUAAAGGGCGCGUAGGCGGUCGUGACAAGUCACUCGUGAAAUCUCCGGGCUUAACUCGGAACGGUCAAGUGAUACUGUCGGACUAGAGUACAGAAGGGGCAACUGGAAUUCUCGGUGUAGCGGUGAAAUGCGUAGAUAUCAGGAGGAACACCAAUUGCGAAGGCAGCUCGCUGGGACGUUACUGACGCUGAGACGCGAAAGCGUGGGGAGCAAACAGG
rnacentral:rRNA from 1 species